ensembl:lncRNA
CUGAAAGAGAAGAGUAGGGACUGCUAAGGGAAAACUGGCUGCUGUUAGCACUGAAAACAAUAAACAGAUUCCGAAUCUGAGCCAAGCAGCAAGUAAUUUGCCCUUCUGUCCUCCGCAUCCCUAUUCUUCAAGCUGUUUUCCUGCCCUUCUCAAAAACCGACUCUCCAGCCAUUCUGGAAAGACUGCGGGCUGGCCACCGGCAAGUUCGAGAUGGAAUUCAGUAUUGGAGGCAGACUCUCCCUUCAUGGUUGCAAGAUGACCAUCCAGAAGUUUCCAAGGCCACCUGCUUGCUUAUUGUAGUAGGAAAGAGUCCCAGAAUUGAAUCUCAUUGGCCCUGGGAUCAUGUGCUGCUUUAUUUAUUAACCUGUCAUAGUGCAAUGAGAAAUGCUGGUUGGCUAAGUUAACCUGGGCUUAUCCUUGAAGCUGAAUGUGGGGCAAGUCUACCUAAAUGCAUGGCUGGGAAAUCUGGGAUUCUCUGAGGAAGGCGGAAGGGAG